UUUUCUACGAUAUUAGAAGUGGAAUCCGAUCUGGAUUUUGCAUCUGUUAUGGCCCACGUUGUCUUUUCUGAACUUCAAGUGCACGAGUGCCCUAAUAGAAUGACGUUGAGGCUUUGAACUUGAUUUUACUUACAUCAUCCGAAUUAUCUGAACUUCGAGAACUUUUGAAAAAGUCACUCACGAACCCCGUUGGGAAGGACUUAUUUGUUUCGUUGUAUGCUUCAUGGCGCCACUCACCCAUGGCAAUCAUAAGUCUCUGCUUAUCAGCUCAGGAAACUGUUUAGAAUUCCAUUGUAACACCAGCAUGCAAGUGCUGUAAUCCAGUCUCUGGUGGAGGAGGAUAUUGCAUUCAGAGAGUUUGUUCUUCGUGAGCUCCGUGCGGCUGCUGGUGCUGUCACAAUCACGUCUCUCAUGGUCAGUACGGUGUUCUUUUCAGUCCCAUGCUUUAGCAGAUUUAAAUAUGAGUAUCCUUUAUUUCAUCAUGCAUCUUUGUUAUUUAUGAGCCUAAUGAUUUUCUAAAUAGCUAAAUGAAAUGUCCAACAUGUUCAUUUAGGGUUUUGGGAUGCUAGCUAUAAAACUAAUCCGGUGAUCUGUAAAUUUCCUUACUCUAGUUC